rnacentral:rRNA from 1 species
CCUACGGGAGGCAGCAGUGAGGAAUAUUGGUCAAUGGACGAGAGUCUGAACCAGCCAAGUAGCGUGAAGGAUGACUGCCCUAUGGGUUGUAAACUUCUUUUAUAAAGGAAUAAAACGAGGCACGUGUGCCUUUUUGCAUGUACUUUAUGAAUAAGGAUCGGCUAACUCCGUGCCAGCAGCCGCGGUAAUACGGAGGAUCCGAGCGUUAUCCGGAUUUAUUGGGUUUAAAGGGAGCGUAGAUGGGUUGUUAAGUCAGUUGUGAAAGGUUGCGGCUCAACCGUGGAAUUGCAAUUGAUACUGGCAGUCUUGAGAGCAGUUGAGGUAGGCGGAAUUCGUGGUGUAGCGGUGAAAUGCUUAGAGAUCACGCAGAACCCCGAUUGCGAAGGCAGCUUACUAAACUGUGACUGACAUUGAUGCACGAAAGUGUGGGUAUCAAACAGGAUUAGAUACCCCAGUAGUC